UACGGAGGAGGCAAGCGUUAUCCGGAAUUAUUGGGCGUAAAGCGUCCGCAGGUGGCUAUUCAAGUCUGCGGUCAAAGACUGGGGCUUAACCCUGGAAAGGCCGUGGAAACUGAAGAGCUAGAGUGCAGUAGGGGUAGAGGGAAUUCCCGGUGUAGCGGUGAAAUGCGUGGAGCUCGGGAAGAACAUCGGUGGCGAAAGCGCUCUGCUGGACUGCAACUGACACUCAGGGACGAAAGCUAGGGGAGCGAAUGGG
rnacentral:rRNA from 1 species